AAGUCUGGCUGCCAUCUUCUACGUUGAUAAUUUUCCCCAUUUUUAUCUUUGAAAAGCAGACAAGAGAGGAAUUCACUGUGAUAAGGCAUUUAAAUGAACUGUAUCAAACGUACAGCUGGGUCAAACAUAAGAGUUUAUUCCAAUAAAAGUGGCGAGAAAAUCGGAAGUACCUACAUAUUGUGCCUGGCCCAGAAGCACACUGGAACACAGAAGUCAUUCAAUCAGGCAGAAGCUGUGCCCACCAGACAGACUUAUUAAGGAGUUCAGUUCACAUCCAGGGCAACACGUCAACAAGGAUGCGUGUGUCACUCUUUCUGUCCAGAAGAAAACAGCCUGUGCUCGGGACCUUCGACCGAUGUACAGUGCAGGCUGCUUUUUCUGCCGCUUGAAUGACUUCUAGAGACACUUCAAGCAUCCCUGCCUCCAAGCCUCAUUCUUCAAAGCUCAGCGUGACUUUCAUCUCUGCCAUGGAGCAUUUCCUGAGUAAACUCUCCUGUGAACAUCAAAGUCAUGUGGUCAUCAGCCCCUGUGGAGCCUUCCCUCCCCAGUGCUCACACAGUCUGGACUCAAAUGCAUCUGGAUUGGAGAACCACCCCCAGUGCUGCAGAGCCACCUCAUUUUCUAUCAUCUACCCACCUGGUUUUCGGCAAGAAUCAUCUUGCUUCUCUAGGAAAGCUUUUCACAAAUACGAAGGAAAUGACCAGUGACCUCUCACCCUCACAUCUUCUCUUUGCCAGGAGGAAAAACUUUGUUCCUUCAGCCAUCUUCACAGGCCAGGGACUGGCACUUCCUCCACACUCUCAGCACACCGCCCUGUGCAUCCUACAGUUUACCCACAGGCUCCUAAAGAGUGGAAAUUCCCCAGUUGUGCUCGAAUCAAACCUGCCCUUAAGUACCAUAUUUGUAUAAAGUCAUGUG